rnacentral:rRNA from 1 species
GGGUUGUGAGGUUAAGCGACUAAGCGUACACGGUGGAUGCCCUGGCAGUCAGAGGCGAUGAAGGACGUGCUAAUCUGCGAUAAGCGUCGGUGAGGUGAUAUGAACCGUUAUAACCGGCGAUUUCCGAAUGGGGAAACCCAGUGUGAUUCGACACACUAUCAUUAACUGAAUCCAUAGGUUAAUGAGGCGAACCGGGGGAACUGAAACAUCUAAGUACCCCGAGGAAAAGAAAUCAACCGAGAUUCCCCCAGUAGCGGCGAGCGAACGGGGAGGAGCCCAGAGCCUGAAUCAGUGUGUGUGUUAGUGGAAGCGUCUGGAAAGGCGCGCGAUACAGGGUGACAGCCCCGUACACAAAAAUGCACAUAUUGUGAGCUCGAUGAGUAGGGCGGGACACGUGGUAUCCUGUCUGAAUAUGGGGGGACCAUCCUCCAAGGCUAAAUACUCCUGACUGACCGAUAGUGAACCAGUACCGUGAGGGAAAGGCGAAAAGAACCCCGGCGAGGGGAGUGAAAAAGAACCUGAAACCGUGUACGUACAAGCAGUGGGAGCCUCUUAAUGGGGUGACUGCGUACCUUUUGUAUAAUGGGUCAGCGACUUAUAUUCUGUAGCAAGGUUAACCGAAUAGGGGAGCCGAAGGGAAACCGAGUCUUAACUGGGCGUUAAGUUGCAGGGUAUAGACCCGAAACCCGGUGAUCUAGCCAUGGGCAGGUUGAAGGUUGGGUAACACUAACUGGAGGACCGAACCGACUAAUGUUGAAAAAUUAGCGGAUGACUUGUGGCUGGGGGUGAAAGGCCAAUCAAACCGGGAGAUAGCUGGUUCUCCCCGAAAGCUAUUUAGGUAGCGCCUCGUGAAUUCAUCUCCGGGGGUAGAGCACUGUUUCGGCAAGGGGGUCAUCCCGACUUACCAACCCGAUGCAAACUGCGAAUACCGGAGAAUGUUAUCACGGGAGACACACGGCGGGUGCUAACGUCCGUCGUGAAGAGGGAAACAACCCAGACCGCCAGCUAAGGUCCCAAAGUCAUGGUUAAGUGGGAAACGAUGUGGGAAGGCCCAGACAGCCAGGAUGUUGGCUUAGAAGCAGCCAUCAUUUAAAGAAAGCGUAAUAGCUCACUGGUCGAGUCGGCCUGCGCGGAAGAUGUAACGGGGCUAAACCAUGCACCGAAGCUGCGGCAGCGACACUAUGUGUUGUUGGGUAGGGGAGCGUUCUGUAAGCCUGUGAAGGUGGCCUGUGAGGGUUGCUGGAGGUAUCAGAAGUGCGAAUGCUGACAUAAGUAACGAUAAAGCGGGUGAAAAGCCCGCUCGCCGGAAGACCAAGGGUUCCUGUCCAACGUUAAUCGGGGCAGGGUGAGUCGACCCCUAAGGCGAGGCCGAAAGGCGUAGUCGAUGGGAAACAGGUUAAUAUUCCUGUACUUGGUGUUACUGCGAAGGGGGACGGAGAAGGCUAUGUUGGCCGGGCGACGGUUGUCCCGGUUUAAGCGUGUAGGCUGGUUUUCCAGGCAAAUCCGGAAAAUCAAGGCUGAGGCGUGAUGACGAGGCACUACGGUGCUGAAGCGACAAAUGCCCUGCUUCCAGGAAAAGCCUCUAAGCAUCAGGUAACAUCAAAUCGUACCCCAAACCGACACAGGUGGUCAGGUAGAGAAUACCAAGGCGCUUGAGAGAACUCGGGUGAAGGAACUAGGCAAAAUGGUGCCGUAACUUCGGGAGAAGGCACGCUGAUAUGUAGGUGAAGCGACUUGCUCGUGGAGCUGAAAUCAGUCGAAGAUACCAGCUGGCUGCAACUGUUUAUUAAAAACACAGCACUGUGCAAACACGAAAGUGGACGUAUACGGUGUGACGCCUGCCCGGUGCCGGAAGGUUAAUUGAUGGGGUUAGCGGUAACGCGAAGCUCUUGAUCGAAGCCCCGGUAAACGGCGGCCGUAACUAUAACGGUCCUAAGGUAGCGAAAUUCCUUGUCGGGUAAGUUCCGACCUGCACGAAUGGCGUAAUGAUGGCCAGGCUGUCUCCACCCGAGACUCAGUGAAAUUGAACUCGCUGUGAAGAUGCAGUGUACCCGCGGCAAGACGGAAAGACCCCGUGAACCUUUACUAUAGCUUGACACUGAACAUUGAGCCUUGAUGUGUAGGAUAGGUGGGAGGCUUUGAAGUGUGGACGCCAGUCUGCAUGGAGCCGACCUUGAAAUACCACCCUUUAAUGUUUGAUGUUCUAACGUGGGCCCCUUACCGGGGUUGCGGACAGUGUCUGGUGGGUAGUUUGACUGGGGCGGUCUCCUCCUAAAGAGUAACGGAGGAGCACGAAGGUUGGCUAAUCCUGGUCGGACAUCAGGAGGUUAGUGCAAUGGCAUAAGCCAGCUUGACUGCGAGCGUGACGGCGCGAGCAGGUGCGAAAGCAGGUCAUAGUGAUCCGGUGGUUCUGAAUGGAAGGGCCAUCGCUCAACGGAUAAAAGGUACUCCGGGAUAACAGGCUGAUACCGCCCAAGAGUUCAUAUCGACGGCGGUGUUUGGCACCUCGAUGUCGGCUCAUCACAUCCUGGGGCUGAAGUAGGUCCCAAGGGUAUGGCUGUUCGCCAUUUAAAGUGGUACGCGAGCUGGGUUUAGAACGUCGUGAGACAGUUCGGUCCCUAUCUGCCGUGGGCGCUGGAGAACUGAGGGGGCUGCUCCUAGUACGAGAGGACCGGAGUGGACGCAUCACUGGUGUUCGGGUUGUCAUGCCAAUGGCACUGCCCGGUAGCUAAAUGCGGAAGAGAUAAGUGCUGAAAGCAUCUAAGCACGAAACUUGCCCCGAGAUGAGUUCUCCCUGACUCCUUGAGAGUCCUGAAGGAACGUUGAAGACGACGACGUUGAUAGGCCGGGUGUGUAAGCGCAGCGAUGCGUUGAGCUAACCGGUACUAAUGAACCGUGAGGCUUAACCUUACAACGCCGAAG